AUUGAACGCUGGCGGCAGGCCUAACACAUGCAAGUCGAGCGGAUGAAGGGAGCUUGCUCCUGGAUUCAGCGGCGGACGGGUGAGCAAUGCCUAGGAAUCUGCCUGGUAGUGGGGGAUAACGUCCGGAAACGGGCGCUAAUACCGCAUACGUCCUGAGGGAGAAAGUGGGGGAUCUUCGGACCUCACGCUAUCAGAUGAGCCUAGGUCGGAUUAGCUAGUUGGUGGGGUAAAGGCCUACCAAGGCGACGAUCCGUAACUGGUCUGAGAGGAUGAUCAGUCACACUGGAACUGAGACACGGUCCAGACUCCUACGGGAGGCAGCAGUGGGGAAUAUUGGACAAUGGGCGAAAGCCUGAUCCAGCCAUGCCGCGUGUGUGAAGAAGGUCUUCGGAUUGUAAAGCACUUUAAGUUGGGAGGAAGGACAGUAAGUUAAUACCUUGCUGUUUUGACGUUACCAACAGAAUAAGCACCGGCUAACUUCGUG
rnacentral:rRNA from 1 species